UUAUUGUUAAUCAGAAAGAAAGGCCAACAAGAUUGAAUAAUCUUAGGAAACUACAGAAAUUCAUGAGCUGCAGGAGCUUGGGGGAGCUGGAACUGGAAGAAGUGAAAGGGUUUAUGGAUCUUGGCUUUAUAUUCAAGAAAGAACACAUAAGCCCAAGAAUGAUCAGUGUAGUCCCUGGUUUGGUGAGAUUAGGAUUAUACAAAAAUAAACACAACAACAAACUCUUUAACAGCAAAGUACCUGAAGAUGAUGAUAUACACACAGAAAAGCAAGAAGAAGCGGAAGGGAUAAUUAGGCCAUACUUGUCAGAGGCUUGGCUAAUAAAAAGACCCGAUUCACCACUAUUAAACCUAAGGUUGCCAAGAGUAUCUGCAGCUGCUGAUAUGAAAAAACACCUCAAGUUCUGGGCUAGAACUGUUGCAUCUGUUAUUCAACAAGAACCUUGAGAGUCUAGGAGAUCCAUAUGGUAGAAGAUAUAUACUCUCCAUUCUACUAAACAAUUGCUGUUUGCUGAUAAAGAAAGAUGAAAUGCCAAAACUCGAUUACAGAUUUUAGUCCACCUUCAGCCGCAGCUGU
rnacentral:misc_RNA from 1 species